GCCGCUCUGAAUCAAGGGUGUUGCGUUUCACGCUCUGGGAGCCCGGGUGUCAAAGCCCGACUCUCUUCACGGUCGGACAACAUCGCCGGAGUGGUGGUCGGUGCGUCGUUGUUGUAUCUGCGGCCAGAGUUGGAAAGUUCUUUCGGGUUCUUUUUUAAUUUUGGUCGUAGUUGACUCGAUUCGCUCCACCCAGUCAAUCGUUCGGGGUGCCCUUCACCGGGUGUCUCGGGCGGCCGGCAACGUUUACUUUGAACAAAUUAGAGUGCUCAAAGCAGGUGUAUCCCAACGCCUGAAUAUCGCAGCAUGGAAUGAUGGAAUAGGACCUCGGUCCGAUUUUGCUGGUCUUUUACUUUUGGACCCGAGGUAAUGGUCAAUAGAGACGGACGGGGGCAUUCGUACUGCGGCGACAGAGGUGAAAUUCUUGGACCGCCGCAAGACGAACAACAGCGAAGGCAUUUGCCAAGAAUGUUUUCCUUGAUCAAGAACGAAAGUUAGAGGUUCGAAGGCGAUCAGAUACCGCCCUAGUUCUAACCAUAAACGAUGCCAACCAGCAAUCCGUCGGAGUUACUCCAAUGACUCGACGGGCAGCUUCCGGGAAACCAAAGUCUUUGGGUUCCGGGGGAAGUAUGGUUGCAAAGCUGAAACUUAAAGGAAUUGACGGAAGGGCACCACCAGGAGUGGAGCCUGCGGCUUAAUUUGACUCAACACGGGAAACCUCACCAGGCCCGGACACUGGAAGGAUUGACAGAUUGAGAGCUCUUUCUUGAUUCGGUGGGUGGUGGUGCAUGNCCGUUCUUAGUUGGUGGAGCGAUUUGUCUGGUUAAUUCCGAUAACGAACGAGACUCUAGCCUGCUAAAUAGGUGACGGGUUUUAUCAAUUGAAACCGAAGGGAGUACGGAGGCGUCGGGAUCAGGUGGCGGCGAUUCGGGUCUCGGUGGGACUGGUUCCUUUAGUGAGGCAAUCUCUCGGCUUGGUUUCGUUGUGCUUUGUUCGUCGGGUGUACGGCCUUCACGGGUUGGUUGCCUGGCGGAUGAGGUAUGGCGGGGCUUUGUCGGGAAUGUCUCGCGGGGGCUGGCUCUAUUGUUAUUCGGUCGUCGUCAUCCCCGGCGAUACCUUCUGCUCUCGCGUCCGUCACGCAGUCUUCUUAGAGGGACAAGCGGCGUCCAGCCGCGUGACAGUGAGCAAUAACAGGUCUGUGAUGCCCUUAGAUGUCCUGGGCCGCACGCGCGCUACACUGAAGGAAUCAGCGUGUUUCACUCUCCCUGUCCGAAAGGACCGGGUAACCGCUGAACCUCCUUCGUGGUUGGGAUUGGGGACUGCAAUGAUCCCCAUGAACCAGGAAUCCCUAGUAGGCGCGGGUCACUAGCCCGCGUCGAUUACGUCCCUGCCCUUUGUACACACCGCCCGUCGCUACUACCGAUUGAAUGAUUUAGUGAGGCCUUCGGACGGGCUUGUCGGGGUGCCGUCGAGUGGGGAGCAAUCUCUGCCCGUGCGGUGCCUACCAACGGCGAGACUGAAAGAUGGUCGAACUUGAUCCUUUAGAGGAAGUAAAAGUCGU
rnacentral:ncRNA from 1 species